rnacentral:lncRNA from 1 species
CCACACUAUAUAUAUAAUCAAAUACAGUUCUAUUAACUAACUCUAGUUAAUACUAAUAAUGUCAGAUAAACAUUAUGUAAACAAACUAUCAAACAAUAAAAUACAACUGUAUACUCAAGUAUACCACUGGCAGAAAAAAAUACCAGUUUCAAAAAAUCUUUUUAAGAUUUGCCUAAGUCUUUUUCAGUUAUACUCAGUUACAAAUAUGUAUAAUCAAGUCUAAAAUACCCAAUAAUAUAUAAUAACUCUACGAUCUAGAUGAAUACCAAUUUCAGAACAUUAUGUGUUUAUGUGUCACAUCAUAAUGUAUAAGUACUAUAUACUAUAACUGUAUACGAUAGUGUUGCUUUCUGUGUAUACUUUAAUCUGUA